ACGCUCGACACCUACGGGGGGCAGCAGUAGGGAAUUUUCGUCAAUGGGGGGAACCCUGAACGAGCAAUGCCGCGUGAGUGAAGAAGGUCUUCGGAUCGUAAAGCUCUGUUGUAAGAGAAAAAGGGCGCAUAUAGGAAAUGAUAUGCGAUUGAUGGUAUCUUACCAGAAAGCCACGGCUAACUACGUGCCAGCACGCCGGUACGGUAAUUCUAGGAGGGCCGGGCGUGGACGAAGGC
rnacentral:rRNA from 1 species